rnacentral:rRNA from 1 species
CCCGCAGAAGAAGCACCGGCUAACUCCGUGCCAGCAGCCGCGGUAAUACGGAGGGUGCAAGCGUUAAUCGGAAUUACUGGGCGUAAAGCGCACGCAGGCGGUUUGUUAAGUCAGAUGUGAAAUCCCCGGGCUCAACCUGGGAACUGCAUCUGAUACUGGCAAGCUUGAGUCUCGUAGAGGGGGGUAGAAUUCCAGGUGUAGCGGUGAAAUGCGUAGAGAUCUGGAGGAAUACCGGUGGCGAAGGCGGCCCCCUGGACGAAGACUGAC